rnacentral:rRNA from 1 species
UACGAAGGGGGCUAGCGUUGGCUUCGGAAUCACUAGGGCGUAAAGGGUGCGUAGGCGGGUCUUUAAGUCAGGGGUGAAAUCCUGGAAGCCUCAACUCCCAGAACUGCCUUUGAACUACUGAAGAUCUUGAAGUUCGGGGAGAGGUGGAAGUUGGAAACUGGCGAGUGGUAGAGGUGAAAUUCGUAGAUAUUCGCAAGAACACCAGUGGCGAAGGGCGGCUCACUGGCCCGAUAACUGACGCUGAGGCACGAAAGCGUGGGGAGCAAACAGGGAAUUAGAUGACCCUGAGUCCCA